CCCAGUGACAGAGUUAAACGGCUGCAUUAUCCUGACCGUGCAAAGGUAGCAUAAACACUU
rnacentral:pre_miRNA from 1 species